rnacentral:lncRNA from 1 species
UCGAAGUAGGUUUCCAUAUUAAUUUUUCAGUACAUCAGCAAUGUUAACACUUGCUCUAACCUUCAUACAAGAGAAAAAGUAUUUAUUAUUGCCAUCUCCUUCAGCUAUCCAGUGAACGUUGGAUUUCUGUUAGUAUUUUCUCUUGAAGUGCUAGCCAUUUAUCCAGAUCCCCUAAUAUAGACUUUUCCAGUUCCAAAAGAGUAUUAUCGAUUUGCACGAUUAGGAGGGACAAGAUGUGCUGCAGUUUAUCUCUAGUUUCCUUCACUUUAUUAUCUAUACAAUCCAUCUCCCCAUGCAUCAACUGCUUCAAAGGCUCAUUGCAAGUUUAAGCUUUUGCCACACCUGAUACAUAUAGGUCUGCUGAAUGGUCUAACUCCAUACUGAGUCUACUUCUGGUAGAAACUUGUCAUGAUCUGCAAAUAUAUUGAUAAAUCUGAAUGGCUUACCACCUUGGGGCUUAUCAGUUGUGAAUUCUAUGUGUAUGGCAGAAUGAUCAGAGAAAUGGUUCUCUUUAUAUUGAGAUGUAAUGUUACCAUACUCAAAAAUCCGCUCACUAUUGUAUAAAGUCCUAUAAAUUCAACUCCAUACAUGUCCAUUAGUCCAAGUAAAGAAUCUACUGGUAUAUUUCAUAUCCACCAGAUUAAGAGAAUCAAUAGUAUACUGGAAAUAUCUAGUUUCU